UGGGGAAUAUUGGACAAUGGGCGAAAGCCUGAUCCAGCCAUGCCGCGUGUGUGAAGAAGGCCUUUUGGUUGUAAAGCACUUUAAGUGGGGAGGAAAAGCUUAUGGUUAAUACCCAUAAGCCCUGACGUUACCCACAGAAUAAGCACCGGCUAACUCUGUGCCAGCAGCCGCGGUAAUACAGAGGGUGCAAGCGUUAAUCGGAAUUACUGGGCGUAAAGCGCGCGUAGGUGGUUAUUUAAGUCAGAUGUGAAAGCCCCGGGCUUAACCUGGGAACUGCAUCUGAUACUGGAUAACUAGAGUAGGUGAGAGGGGAGUAGAAUUCCGGGUGUAGCGGUGAAAUGCGUAGGGAUCUGGAGGAAUACCGAUGGCGAAGGCAGCUCCCUGGCAUCAUACUGACACUGAGGUGCGAAAGCGUGGGUAGCAAACAGGAUUAGAUACCCUGGUAGUCCACGCCGUAAACGAUGUCUACCAGUCGUUGGGUCUUUUAAAGACUUAGUGACGCAGUUAACGCAAUAAGUAGACCGCCUGGGGAGUACGGCCGCAAGGUUA
rnacentral:rRNA from 1 species